GAUUGGUCGAAAGACCUUAUCAGAUUCUACCACCUCUGUGAACCGUUGACCUCCGGGUUAAUAAUCAAACAUCAGUGUAACGAACGUAAGAGUAUCUUAAUUAAACAAAACUUUUAACAACGGAUCUCUUGGCUCUCGCAUCGAUGAAGAACGCAGCGAAAUGCGAUAAGUAAUGUGAAUUGCAGAAUUCAGUGAAUCAUCGAAUCUUUGAACGCACCUUGCGCCUUUUGGUAUUCCGAAAGGCAUGCCUGUUUCAGUGUCAUGAAAUCUCAAUCUAAUAUGUUUUCUGAACAUGUUAGGCUUGGACUUGGGUGUCUGCCAGCAAUGGCUCACCUCAAAUGACUUAGUGGAACAUCCCACAUCAGUGUUAGACGUAAUAAGUUUCGUCUCUCCUCGUGGUGAUGACUGCUCAAAACCUGCCAUCGCGCACCUUUU
rnacentral:misc_RNA from 1 species